GCCUACUUGCUCAGCUGGUAGAGCAUCUUCAUGGUGAGCAGAAUAUCUCCGGUUCGAUUCCGGCUUGCA
rnacentral:tRNA from 1 species